AUGCCACCCCCGUCUCUUUUUCGAGACGCGACCUCGGUGACAAUCCUCCAGACAUCGGAUUUUUCCGCACUUCCUGGCCAGAAGGUGGCGCUUCGGUGCACAGUCGAGGGUAGUAGCAGUGCUGGUGACGUGUUGUACUGGUACCGACAAUACCCGGGAAAGGGUCCGGAGAACAUGUUUUACUCAACGACAGCUACGUACGUCCAGCCAGAGGGAUUGGUCGACGGUUUUACGGCGGAGAGAUCGCAGAGCAACGAGUGCUUCCUGAAGUCCGACAAACUGGAAGCGAAUUCUUCGGCCGUGUAUUUCUGCGCCUGGAGUGAUCACGGCGGCUCAGAGUGA